AAGUCGUAACAAGGUUUCCGUAGGUGAACCUGCGGAAGGAUCAUUAGCGUAAUUCUGGUUGAAAAACCGAGGAUUUCCACACUUGUGUUUUAAGCAAAAGGUUUUCAAAGUGUUCUCUUGUUUUCUUUACCAGAAAAGGGAGACACUAGGAAUUUUUUGCGAACUCAAAAACUGUCUUUUUUUCUUUUCUGUUUGAUUACAGAGGAAGAAGGACGGUAUAAACUUUUUUAUUAUCAAUAAUAAAUAAAAACUUUCAACAACGGAUCUCUUGGUUCUG
rnacentral:misc_RNA from 1 species